rnacentral:rRNA from 1 species
GAUGAACGCUGGCGGCGUGCCUAAUACAUGCAAGUCGAGCGAACGGACGAGAAGCUUGCUUCUCUGAUGUUAGCGGCGGACGGGUGAGUAACACGUGGAUAACCUACCUAUAAGACUGGGAUAACUUCGGGAAACCGGAGCUAAUACCGGAUAAUAUUUUGAACCGCAUGGUUCAAAAGUGAAAGACGGUCUUGCUGUCACUUAUAGAUGGAUCCGCGCUGCAUUAGCUAGUUGGUAAGGUAACGGCUUACCAAGGCAACGAUGCAUAGCCGACCUGAGAGGGUGAUCGGCCACACUGGAACUGAGACACGGUCCAGACUCCUACGGGAGGCAGCAGUAGGGAAGCUUCCGCAAUGGGCGAAAGCCUGACGGAGCAACGCCGCGUGAGUGAUGAAGGUCUUCGGAUCUUAAAACUCUGUUAUUAGGGAAGAACAUAUGUGUAAGUAACUGUGCACAUCUUGACGGUACCUAAUCAGAAAGCCACGGCUAACUACGUG